rnacentral:rRNA from 1 species
UACGGGGGGGGCAAGCGUUGUUCGGAAUUACUGGGCGUAAAGGGCGCGUAGGCGGCUUUUCAAGUCGGGCGUGAAAUCUCCGGGCUUAACCUGGAAGGGUCGUUCGAUACUGUCGAGCUAGAGUGUGGAAGAGGCUACUGGAAUUCCGUGUGUAGCGGUGAAAUGCGUAGAUAUACGGAGGAACACCAGCGGCGAAGGCGGGUGGCUGGGCCAACACUGACGCUGAUGCGCGAAAGCCAGGGGAGCAAACGGG